UACGUAGGCAGCGAGCGUUGUUCGGAGUUACUGGGCGUAAAGAGUGCGUAGGCGGCGGCCUAAGUCUGGUGUGAAAUCUCCCGGCUCAACUGGGAGGGUGCGCCGGAAACUGGGUUGCUAGAGUGUGGGAGAGGCCAGCGGAAUUCCUGGUGUAGCGGUGAAAUGCGUAGAUAUCAGGAGGAACACCUGCGGUGUAGACGGCUGGCUGGACCACGACUGACGCUGAGGCACGAAAGCGUGGGGAGCAAACAGG
rnacentral:rRNA from 1 species